GUCUACAGCCAUGCCACCCUGAAUGUGCUCAAUCUUGUCUGAUUUCAGAAGCUAAGCAGGGUAAGGGCUGGUUAGUACUUAGAUGGGAGACCACCUAGGAAUACCAGAUGCUGUAGGUG
rnacentral:rRNA from 1 species